UACAGAGGUCUUGAGCGUUGUUCGGAUUCAUUGGGCGUAAAGGGUGCGUAGGUGGCGUCGUAAGUCAGGUGUGAAAUCUCGGGGCUCAACCCCGAAACUGCACUUGAUACUGCGAUGCUUGAGUACUGGAGAGGAGAUUGGAAUUUACGGUGUAGCAGUGAAAUGCGUAGAUAUCGUAAGGAAGACCAGUGGCGAAGGCGAAUCUCUGGACAGUUACUGACACUGAGGCACGAAGGCCAGGGGAGCAAACGGG
rnacentral:rRNA from 1 species